ensembl:lncRNA
GUAGAAUCCACAGUUAAAAGUUCUAAAGAUGAUAUAAUAAUCUUACACCCAAAAGAGACACAUAUAAUGUUCAGAUACAAAUGAACACUAAAACCUAAUUGUCAAUAGUUUAUUAUAAUGAGUAAAAUAGAUCCCAUCACACUUUUUUUUCCUUGUUUUUCCCUCUAGUAACAACCUCUAUACUACCAACAAAACCGAACAAGUAAAUAUAUUUGUUAUUGCAUUUGUUUUUGGAGCUUGAGCUACUAUUAUACUAGUUUCAUUUAGAUGAAUAAAUAAUUAUAACCGUUUUAAGUAAGCUUGAUAUGAUAUUAUGUAAGAAAUCUCAUCUAACUGUAAAUUUGUUGAUUUUUAUUCAAAGUGACUGUGUAAUUAUAUAUACGUGCCUUCUAUCCUAUCUAUAACUCUGCUGAAGCAAAAUGCUGAAAGCACAAAAAGGAACAAAUUAACUAGAGUGAAGAGAAGAAAAUGGUGUCCAGGGGUAGGGUGUUAUCAGCAGAAUAGAAAUUCAAUAAAUUGCGAAAGAUAAGGAAUGCAUAGAGCAAGUUGGUGGGUCAUAUCUGUGGGAAAAGCUAAACUCAGAUUAAUAGAAAGGUCCAGGAAAGGUGGAACUCAGGCCCCUCCCAAGGGCUUUGAUACUGAGUUAAAAUGGAUACUUGCUAUGGAGAGUCAAAUUGAAAACUCAGCUUUAAUUGAAAAUCUGAUACUUAGUUUUGGAGCUAAGAUUAUCUGUGUUGGUGUUCCUCAUGCAUUAUGUCACCACUAAACACAUGGUUCUACAUUUUUCCAGGUCUUCAUCUGUGGGUUUAAUAAUGCCUAUUAGGUCAAUAAAAAGAGGCAACAGAGAGAAAUGUUGACUUAACAUUAUGAAAUUUACUAAGAAUGGCCAUAAAAAAGGAAAAAAAAAAAAAACCUUGAAAAUAAAAGUCUGUAAACUUCUUUGGAGAGUAAAAUCCAGUCCCCAUGUUGAAAUUUUAUAUGCUCUAAGAGCUAAGAACUUAAAACAUUUGAAACAAUUUAAUAAUGUCUAAGCUUCUUAGACAUUCAUUCUCUUUUAAUAACUUCAUUGGAACACAGUCACACCAGUGGUUUAUAUAUCCUUUACAGCUAUGUUAGCACUACAACAACAGAGAGAGACUCUAUGGCCUGCAAAACCUAAAAUAUUGACUUAUAGAAAACACUUGCUCACGGCUGUUCUACAAUAAACAAGGCAUAACAGAAGAAAAGAGGUUUUCUUAGCAGCAAUAUCAGAUGCUAACAGAAAAUAGAAAACUGCCUACAGUGUUUUGAGAAAUAAGAUAAAUUCUUAAGCUGAAUUCUAUAGCUGGAGAACCAACAAUCAAAUAUGGGGGACUCAUAAAUCCUAGAGUUUUUCAAAUAAUUCAUUUUUUCCCUCUCCUUAGGGGAAGCAGAAGGGGAUUGUUUUCCAGUAUUUUCUGUGAGGUCCUGCAGGUAAAUCUCACAAUAUUGUUGGGGUCCCCCUAAGUUAGGAUCCUCCUAGAGAGUUUUUAACUCUGAGUUUUUCAGACUUGGCCACUGGCAAUUUGGCUAUUACAGGAUUUCCUACCUGGCCUGGCUUUCGGUGUGGUUGCUGCUCUAAAGUCUACUCUGGUAAGCCAUGACACUCUAUAUUCACCUGAACACCUAUCUCUGUCAUCUUGGGUACAGUGGUUUGUCUUGUGUUUCCUCCUUUUCUUAAGGAUCCAAGGAGAAUUGUUGAUUUUUCAGUCUCUUCACCUGGGGCAUGGGAAUCUUUUUUAGAGGGAUGGGAAUCUUCCAAGCUCUUUACAGGUGGAAUGGGAAACAUUAUUCCAUUGAUUGUCCCAUCUUAUGCCAGUACCAUGAUGAUUUUCAAAAGUUACCACGGUUUGGAAGCUAGGAUUUUUCAAGGCUUCCACACAGUUAGAAACAAGUGAAUGGGAAUAAGGCAAGUUAAAAAGCCACAAAACAACUGUUCCUAGCAUUCAGUUGUUGUUGUUACUUGUUUUGGUUUGAUUUUGAGUUUUUGAAUAAAUGUUCCUCAGAUUGUGAUAGCCUUUGGUUAGUUUCAGAAUUCUGAAAAAGCUGGUACUGAUGGUUUUGUUUCUAAAACAAUGAUUCUUUAGAACAUGUAAUUUUUGGAGGUCCCUAGUGCACCAUUUUAUAAUGCAUUGUUCAUUGCUAAAUAUUUCCAGGUUAAGUACUCCUGUCUCUAUCCUUCCUAAUGAGACUGAAUCAAUAUUUAUAUUUUUUAUGGAAAUUUCUAAAGACUGCCAUUAAGACACAGUUAAAGAUCACCUUGUUUUUGGUGGCAUUUGUUCCUAACAUCUAUUUUUGCAUAUCUCGAUGAUAAAAGUUAACAUUUUUUCUUAACAACAUCAAAACACUCCAAUAAAAAUGUCAUUCUAAAUUAAAAAUAACCAACUCUUCAUCACCAGCUGAUUUUUUCCUACUUCUAACAUAAGGUAGCAAAUAAUCUUUAUAUUGAAUAACAUGUACUUACUAGGCUCCUACUAUGUACAGAUUGCAAAAUAAAUAUGAAAUGGUACUAAUACCCUAGAUCUCUAGAUCCUGUUCAUUCUUUUUGAACUAUAUGACUUGUCUACCAAAAUAGGAACUAAAUAAUAAAUUAGGGUUAUGAAAUUUAUAUAAUAGUAUUAAAAAUAAUAGGAAUUGGGGAAGACAAAUAGAAUUUAUAACUGGGAAAUGAACUAAACACUGAAGAAGAGGUAUAGUUCCAAAGUCAUUUCAAAAGUUGCUAUUUAUUGAAAACAAAAUUUUUUAAUACAAGGUGAUGCUACCUUUUCAUAAAAAUGGUAACUUUCCAUAUGUGUAGGCAUAUAUACAUUCUAUUCUGUCCCCUUUUUUGUGGGGGGGGGCACACCUGCAGAAUGUGGAAGUUCCCAGGCCAGGGAUGGAACACAUGCCACAGCAGUGACCUGAAGCACUGCAGUGACACCAGGUAUUUAACCCACUGUACCACAACAGAACUCUUUUUGCUAACAACAGUGUUCCAUGUUCUUUUUGCUAACAACAGUGUCUUAAUACUAGACUCUACUAGUUAUCAAAACAUAAGGUAUAAGGCUUCCAUGUUCUCUUAAAGUUAUCCUUGGUUGUUUUUGGCAUUUUCCAUUUUUAUAUAAAAUAUUAAUCCCUUGGAGUUCCCGUCGUGGCUCAGUGGUUAGCGAAUCCGACUAGGAACCAUAAGGUUGUGGGUUUGAUCCCUGGCCUUGCUCAGUGGGUUAAGGAUCCCACGUUGCCAUGAGCUGUGGUGUAGGUUGCAGACGCGGCUCUGA